GGCCUGGCCCGAGUAGUAGCACACAGGCGCACUGCUAUAGUCCUUCCUCACGCACAUACACGCCGGCGGAUCGUGCUGAUCGAUUCGCUUUGAGGCUCGCAGCCGCCGCCGCCGAAAACAGUCAUCCGCCGCCACUUGCCUCCUCUCUAAAAUUGAUUAUUCCUCUACAGCUCUGAUCUUUACGAAACCGUCCCAGCCAAUCCAUCCGUCUAAUGGAUCUGAAGUUGAUAUAUAGGUAAUAACAAUAUAAUACAGCACGAAAUCUCGGCUCAAUUCCGUGCAAGGAUUUGAGAUGUCACUUCCUGAAGAUGAACGAGGUGCCAAGAAAAGUAGAGAGAUGUUGGAGCCCAGGAGCCAAACGCCACCGACGAUGACUCCUACUACACUGGAGGUGCCUAAUACUACGUGCAAGCCGCCAACGACGAUCAGGAGUAGUUUAGUUGGAUCCUAGGCAGGAGGCCUGCGCCUCUUUUUAUUUGUAUCCCAGUUUGUGCUAGCCAUCUUAUGGCAACUUGUUUAACUCAUGUUUGUACUCAGAUAUUGUUGCUUCCGCUGACUCGUCUAUGAUCGAG